AUAAAGAGAUUAGAUCUUAUCUCUUAGGUGAUACUUAGCCAAAUCACAAAAACUACAAUGAACCAAAGUCAAUCUCUCUCUUCAAGUCUCUCUCUCUUGGCCUCUCUUGGAACCCAACAAGAGCAGGCUUUAGUCCAUCAAUUUCUUGAUGAUUUGACAAGAAUUUUGUAGGAAUUUCAAGUAUCAACUGAAGGUAAGGGCAAGGCUAACGAUGAACAACAAUGAGCUUGAGCUAAUGAAGAUUGUACAUAUCGGGGUAUUUAGACAUGGAGUGUUCGAUCUUCGGGACAACAAGCUGUAUUUUAUUAGUCGUUAGACGAAAACUUUAUUAGCUGAAUAUUUUGUAAUACAGUUGUAAAUUUUAAAGAUGAGAUCCAUAUGAGGCUUUUGUUUAUUUAAUUUUAAAGGUUAAUUAAGAAAGUUUUAAUUA